rnacentral:rRNA from 1 species
CGCUUCUGCAUGCAGUCGAGCGAAAGACCCCGGGCUUGCCCGGGUGAUUUAGCGGCGGACGGCUGAGUAACACGUGAGAAACUUGCCCUUAGGCGGGGGACAACCAUGGGAAACUGUGGCUAAUACCGCAUAAUGUCCCAGUACAUAAGUAUUGUGACCAAAGACUUCGGUCGCCAAAGGAGAGUCUCGCGGCCUAUCAGCUUGUUGGAGAGGUAACGGCUCACCAAGGCUAUGACGGGUAGCCGAUCUGAGAGGAUGAUCGGCCAGAGGGGGACUGAGACACGGCCCCCACUCCUACGGGAGGCAGCAGCAGGGAAUCUUGCGCAAUGGGCGAAAGCCUGACGCAGCGACACCGCGUGGGGGAUGAAGGCCCUUGGGUUGUAAACCCCUUUUGUUGUGGAAUAAGAUCUGAAGGUACACAGCGAAUAAGGCCCGGCCAACUACGUGCCAGCAGCCGCGGUAAUACGUAGGGGCCAAGCGUUGUCCGGAUUUAUUGGGCGUAAAGGGUGCGUAGGCCGCUCGAACAGUCCGUUGCGAAAGCUCCCGGCUCAACUGGGAGAGGUCAGCGGAUACUAUCGAGCUAGAGGACGGCAGAGGAAGGUGGAAUUUCCGGUGUAGCGGUGGAAUGCGUAGAUAUCGGAAGGAACAUCAGUGGCGAAGGCGACCUUCUGGGCCGUUUCUGACGCUGAGGCACGAGAGCGUGGGUAGCAAACCGGAUUAGAUACCCGGGUAGUCCACGCCCUAAACGAUGAGUGCUAGGUAUAGGGGGGUAUCGACCCCCUCUGUGCCCAAAGCUAACGCGUUAAGCACUCCGCCUGGGGAGUACGGCCGCAAGGCUAAAACUCAAAGGAAUUGACGGGGGCCCGCACAAGCAGCGGAGCGUGUGGUUUAAUUCGAUGCAAAGCGAAGAACCUUACCUGGGCUUGACAUGAUUGAAGUAGAAUCCCGAAAGGGUGACGACCUGUAAAGUCAGGAACAACC